rnacentral:rRNA from 1 species
UGUCCUUAGUACGAGAGGACCGGGAUGGACACACCGCUGGUGUACCAGUUGUCUUGCCAAAGGCAUCGCUGGGUAGCUAUGUGUGGACGGGAUAAGUGCUGAAAGCAUCUAAGCAUGAAGCCCCCCUCAAGAUGAGAUUUCCCAUAGCGCAAGCUAGUAAGAUCCCUGAAAGAUGAUCAGGUUGAUAGGUCAGAGGUGGAAGCGUGGCGACAUGUGUAGCUGACUGAUACUAAUCGAUCGAGGACUUAACCAAAC